AAAGGAAUUGACGGGGGCCCGCACAAGCGGUGGAGCAUGUGGUUUAAUACGUCACUAACCGUAGAACCUUACCCAGGUUUGACAUCUAGUGCAAGCUCUGCGAAAUCGGAGCCCUUCAGUUUACUGAACACGAAAGACAGGUGUUGCAUGGCUGUCGUCAGCUCGUGUCGUGAGAUGUUGGGUUAAGUCCCGCAACGAGCGCAACCCUCACUAAAUGUUGCCAGCGUAAAGUCGGGAACUCUUUUAGAACUGCCUAUGUAAGUAGGAGGAAGGUGGGGAUGACGUCAAGUCAGCAUGGCCCUUACGCCUGGGGCUACACACAUGCUACAAUGGGUGAACAAAGGGAUGCAAUACCGCGAGGUGGAGCUAAUCUCAAAAAUACACUCUCAGUUCAGAUUGCAGUCUGCAACUCGACUGCAUGAAGUCGGAAUCGCUAGUAAACGCAGGUCAGCUAAACUGCGUUGAAUACGUUCCCGGGCCUUGUACACACCGCCCGU
rnacentral:rRNA from 1 species